rnacentral:rRNA from 1 species
CCCUUAGAUGUUCGGGGCCGCACGCGCGCUACACUGAAGGAAUCAGCACGUCUUUCUCCUUGUCCGAAAGGACUGGGUAACCCGCUGAACCUCCUUCGUGCUAGGGAUUGGGGCUUGUAAUUCUUCCCCAUGAACGAGGAGUUCCCAGUAAGCGCGAGUCAUAAGCUCGCGUUGAUUACGUCCCUGCCCUUUGUACACACCGCCCGUCGCUACUACCGAUUGGAUGGUUUAGUGAGAUCCUCGGAUUGGUCCCGGCGCGGCCUCUGGUCGUGCCGGAGUGCCGAAAAGAAUGUCGAACUUGAUCAUCUAGAGGAAGUAAAAGUCGUAACA